UAAGACAGAGGUGCCGAGCGUUAGGCGGAAUCACUGGGCUUAAAGCGUGUGUAGGCGGACCGUUAAGUACCCGCGUGAAAUCCCACGGCUCAACCGUGGAACGGCCGGGUAGACUGGCGGUCUUGAGAGGCCGAGGGGCCAUCGGAACAAGCGGUGGAGCGGUGAAAUGCGUAGAUAUCGCUUGGAACGCCGGCGGCGAAAGCGGAUGGCUGGUGGCCUUCUGACGCUGAGACACGAAAGCCAGGGGAGCGAACGGGAUUAGAUACCCCGGUAGUCCUGGCCGUAAACGAUGUCGACUAGGUCGCGGGCCGCCCCUGACGGGCGUUCGCGGCCGCAGCAAAAGUGCUAAGUCGACCGCCUGGGAAGUACGGUCGCAAGGCUA
rnacentral:rRNA from 1 species